UACGUAGGGUGCGAGCGUUGUCCGGAAUUAUUGGGCGUAAAGAGCUUGUAGGCGGUCUGUCGCGUCUGCUGUGAAAAUCCGGGGCUCAACCCCCGGACUUGCAGUGGGUACGGGCAGACUAGAGUGUGGUAGGGGAGACUGGAAUUCCUGGUGUAGCGGUGAAAUGCGCAGAUAUCAGGAGGAACACCGGUGGCGAAGGCGGUUCUCUGGGCAUGUCCCUG
rnacentral:rRNA from 1 species